rnacentral:rRNA from 1 species
CCUGAACGCUGGCGGCGUGGUUAAGACAUGCAAGUCGCACGGUGUAGCAAUACACAGUGGCGCACGGGUGAGUAAUGAAUCGCUAACGUACCCUGGACUCUGGGAUAGCUGCCCGAAAGGGCAGGUAAUACCAGAUGAUAUAACCGAACCGCAUGGUUUGGUUCUCAACGGUCCGCCGGUCUGGGAGCGGGCGAUUUCGUAUCAGCUAGUUGGUGAGGUAACGGCUCACCAAGGCGACGACGCGUAGCCGGACUGAGAGGUCGGUCGGCCACAUCGGGACUGAGACACUGCCCGGACUCC